GACCCCUUCCAUCACCACCGCCCCCACCCCGCCGGUGUCCGGAGGGGCCUCGUCACCCUCCUCACCCUCUGCCAUAACUCAGUGUCAGAACUACACUGAAGUUGCUCUGCAUUGGCUCCACUCCAGAUCCCAGACCCUUCAGCAGACUCUUGGAGCAGCCUGGGCACAGCUGAGUGACCACCAUUUUGUUGCACUUCUGUGCCACCAACACGGAGCAUCAGUGCCUGGCAGAGAAAACUCUACAAAUGAACUCCCCACCACCAAAGAAGAGUUGAGGCCUGACCCUAUUACUUUAAGGAAGUGUUGAACUACUGAUAUGUUUAGUAAAUCCAUUUGAACAUGACAGUGGGUUUACCAUCUAAGCCAAGGCAAUGGCACCUCUGCAAAGCACUCAAGUCUUUGUUUUUUGGAUGUGGUCACCUGCAACCAGUGAAAGGCUGACCAAGGCCACUAUCUUAGUCAACAGAGAUGGAAAAUCAGGAAUUGCAAAUGUUGUU